UAAGGGCACCACAAGAACGCGUGGAGCAUGUGGCUUAAUUUGACUCAACGCGGGAAAUCUUACCGGGUCCGGACACACUGAGGAUUGACAGGCAAUAUUAUAAAGUAAAUCUUUGUGUCAUUCGUGGCUCAAGCGAUUUUUUUAUAUGUUAAAUAUGCUAGUCCUUUCAUGAUUAUGUGAUAGGUGGUGCAUGGCCGUUCUUAGUUCGUGGAGUGAUCUGUCUGCUUAAUUGCGUUUCACUAUUGGGCUUAUAUAAUUACGUAUGCUGUUAACGCUUUGACCCCUUUCUACGGAUUGCGCGUGUCUUUGUCCGUUCGACACAUACAAUUAAGCCCUGAAAGCAACGAACGUGACCGCAACCUCUUGUUGCUCUCCAUUUCGAUUUAUACCAGAAUCGUCGCGUAUUAAUUUCUUAAUUUUAAUUUUUUUGCACUUUCGGGUGUAAUUUUUUUUUUUAUGACUGUAUUUUUUUACGUUAAGAGAGCUUUCUAAACUAGAGGGACCGCUGUUACUUUCUUAAACCAGAGGAGGGUUGCGGCAAUAACAGGUCUGUGAUGCCCUUAGAUGUUCCNGGCUGCACACGUGCUACAAUGAUUAUUGCAGUGAGCAUCUCAUUUUUUACACAUCGCAUGCGCGAGUCCAUUUAUUCAUCACUUCGGUGUUGCUUUAAAUGUGCACCUCUGCGCGCGAUAAAGCCUACUUCGAGAGCAAGUGGGUAAUCAAUUAGAAGUAAUGAUUUCCUUUUUUUUCUGCACGCAUAUAUAUGGCACUUAUACCCGGGUAGCCUUGUUGUUACUUCUGUGCGUAUCAGUGAUACUUUUGUGUUUACCACAAUCGUAUAUUACCAUAUGUGCAAUUGUCAAUUCAUGGUGGGGACAGACCAUUGUUAAUUGUUGGUCUCGGUCUUAACUAGGAAUGCCUUGUACGGAUCUUUGGUUCAACAAACCAUCCGGAAUACGUCCCUGCCCUUUGUACACACCGCCCGUCGCUCUUACCGAUGGACUUCUCUGUGAGUUUGAGGGACUGGUAUAUGAUGCCACAGUUUUUUUUAUUCGUAAAAAAAAUUGUCAUCCCACUAUAGAAACUUAAACGAACAGUGGGGUCUAAAGGAAAGAGAAGUCGUAACAAGGCAUCUGUAGGUGAACCUGCAGAAGGAUCAAGCUUGGAUA
rnacentral:rRNA from 1 species